rnacentral:rRNA from 1 species
UACGUAGGGAGCAAGCGUUGUCCGGAAUCAUUGGGCGUAAAGCGCGCGUAGGUGGCCCUGUAAGUCCGUUGUGAAAGUCAAAGGCUCAACCUUUGAAAGCCGAUGGAUACUGCAGGGCUAGAGUACGGAAGAGGCGAGUUGGAAUUCCUGGUGUAGCGGUGGAAUGCGCAGAUAUCAGGAGGAACACCAAUAGCGAAGGCAGCUCGCUGGGACGUUACUGACACUGAGGCGCGAAAGCGUGGG